rnacentral:rRNA from 1 species
GGAAUAUUGGACAAUGGCCGGAAGGCUGAUCCAGCCAUGCCGCGUGCGGGAGGACGGCCCUAUGGGUUGUAAACCGCUUUUGCGAGGGAGCAAUAAGGUCCACGUGUGGAUCGAUGAGAGUACCUCGCGAAUAAGCAUCGGCUAACUCCGUGCCAGCAGCCGCGGUAAUACGGAGGAUGCAAGCGUUAUCCGGAUUUAUUGGGUUUAAAGGGUGCGUAGGCGGUUUGCUAAGCGGGAGGUGAAAUGCCGGCGCUCAACGUCGGAAGUGCCUCCCGAACUGGUGGACUGGAAUGGCUCUGCCGUGGGAGGAAUGUGUAGUGUAGCGGUGAAAUGCUUAGAGAUUACACAGAACACCGAUUGCGAAGGCAUCUCACGAAGGGCCGAUUGACGCUGAGGCACGAAAGCGUGCGGAUCAAACA